rnacentral:rRNA from 1 species
UACGGAGGAUGCGAGCGUUAUCCGGAUUUAUUGGGUUUAAAGGGUGCGCAGGCGGACUGUCAAGUCAGCGGUAAAAUUGAGAGGCUCAACCUCUUCCCGCCGUUGAAACUGGUGGUCUUGAGUGGAUGAGAAGUACGCGGAAUGCGUGGUGUAGCGGUGAAAUGCAUAGAUAUCACGCAGAACCCCGAUUGCGAAGGCAGCAUACCGGUGCACAACUGACGCUCAGGCACGAAAGCGUGGGUAUCGAACAGG